AUGAGUGGCGAUUUGGGUGAGUAACACGUGAGUAACCUGCCCCUGAUUUCGGGAUAAGCCUGGGAAACUGGGUCUAAUACCGGAUACGACCAAUCCUUGCAUGAGGGUUGGUGGAAAGUUUUUCGAUCGGGGAUGGGCUCGCGGCCUAUCAGCUUGUUGGUGGGGUAAUGGCCUACCAAGGCGACGACGGGUAGCCGGCCUGAGAGGGCGACCGGCCACACUGGGACUGAGACACGGCCCAGACUCCUACGGGAGGCAGCAGUGGGGAAUAUUGCACAAUGGGGGAAACCCUGAUGCAGCGACGCAGCGUGCGGGAUGACGGCCUUCGGGUUGUAAACCGCUUUCAGCAGGGAAGAAGCGAAAGUGACGGUACCUGCAGAAGAAGUACCGGCUAACUACGUGCCAGCAGCCGCGGUAAUACGUAGGGUACGAGCGUUGUCCGGAAUUAUUGGGCGUAAAGAGCUCGUAGGUGGUUGGUCACGUCUGCUGUGGAAACGCAACGCUUAACGUUGCGCGUGCAGUGGGUACGGGCUGACUAGAGUGCAGUAGGGGAGUCUGGAAUUCCUGGUGUAGCGGUGAAAUGCGCAGAUAUCAGGAGGAACACCGGUGGCGAAGGCGGGACUCUGGGCUGUAACUGACACUGAGGAGCGAAAGCAUGGGGAGCGAACAGGAUUAGAUACCCUGGUAGUCCAUGCCGUAAACGUUGGGGCACUAGGUGUGGGGGGACAUUUCCACGUUCUCCGCGCCGUAGCUAACGCAUUAAGUGCCCCGCCCUGGGGGAGUACGGUCGCAAGGCUAAAACUCAAAAGGAAUUGACGGGGGCCCGCACAAGCGGCGGAGCAUGCGGAUUAAUUCGAUGCAACCGCGAAAGAACCUUACCCAAGGCUUGGACAUACACUGGGACCCGUUUCUUGGGAAACAGUUCUUUCUCCUUUUGGGAAGCUUGGGUGUUACAGUGGGUGGCAUAGUGUCCGUCAGCCUCCGUGUCCGUUGAGAUGGUUGGUUUAGUUCCCGCAACGGACGCAACCUCUCCGUUUCUAUGGUUGCCCAGCU
rnacentral:rRNA from 1 species